ensembl:lncRNA
AUGUUGCCGGUGUUGCGGUAAAAGAAAGUUGUGCAGGUACAUAUUACCAAAUGUCACUUCAUUAAUUGUCCAGCUCAACAGCUAUUUAUUUAUUUUAGGCAUAAAGUAUUUUUUUGAUGACAGAUUUGUACACUACUUUUCACAACUAAUGUAGAGUAACACAAUGCUUAAAGUGCCAUAUCUUUAUUGUGAAAUAUAUUUAGUUGUAAAUAGAGAGACAAGGAAGUGAUACUCCACAUACAAUUACAUUCUGAAUCAAGAUUCUUAUCACUCAUAAUUUCAUAGAUUCUCUCUAUUUCUCUAAACAGAUUUGGUUCCCACUCCCACUAUUGUAUUUUCCCCUGGGUACAUCAAUAUAGCUACACCUGCUACAGUACGAUGUGAGUCACCAAAAGGCACAGAGUGCAAAUUCUACAAAGAUCAUGACCCCAACCCUAUAAGGAAACUGGAUUACAAGCAGGGUGCUUGCCAGUUCAAGUUGCUCUGGAAUGAGUUCAAAAGGUGGAACAAGACUGAAGUAGAUCUCAGCUGUGUAAUUCUACAGAACAGAGAAGGUGAAACGAUCAAAACCUCAAAACCUAGUGAUGCUCGAAGACUUAAUGUGGGUGAUCCAAUUGGAAAGCCCAUUGUUCAGGUGUUGAAGAUUGGGAAUUACCUCAAUCUUCGAUGUGAGGCCAAGGCUGGCACCUCAUGCUACUUUUAUCUGAACAAUGGUGACUCACACUUUAAAAAACGACCCUACAAAGACAAUGUCUGUGUGGGGAGAGUGGCAGAAGAGGAACUGCAGAGGAAGAGGAGCAGUGCUGGAGAGAUCUUCAUCACCUGUGCUGUGGAGCUGGUGGUAGAGGGUGAAGAUACUGUGACAUCACAGCAUAGUGAACCCCUCGGUAUCACCAUAGAUGGAGCUACUAGUUCCCCAUCAACGUUCAGUUUACCUGUUCAGAAUGAGAAAAGCAACGAUACCACAGCCCAAGGAAGAGGUCCAGGGUUCCUCGUCGUCAUCAGUCUGGGUGCUGGUUCCCUUUUCCUGAUUCUGCUAGCUGGGUCUGUGCUGUGUGUUCUCCAACGCAAGUGUGGUGCGUGCUUUCAGAUUGGUCUACUCAUAACACAUUCUUAUUUUGCUCCAAAUGCUACUUUGAGUUUAUGUUCAACAUUGCUAAAUUAUCUCUAUGUAUCUUUUGAAGGGGUUCAAGGCAGGCCUGUAAAUACUGGGUAAGACUGGUGUAUUCAUUUUAGAUGUACAUUAUUUUUCUUUAUUCAUGCACGGCUAUAUCUUUCUGACUCUACUGCAUUGUCUCAACAGAAGCCCACCUGAACAGCAAGACCAAACCCCACCUUGUGUCUGUGAGUAUGAGAGUUAACUAAACCACCACUGCCUUUAUCUCCUUUUGUUCAGUGUUUUAUUUUCCCUCAUUCUCUCAUAUUAAACAGAUUCUGUCAUCACAAAGCCUUCUAGGGAUGAGGUGAGUUGGUUUGAACCAGUGCAGUGUGAAGUAGCCUAAUAUGCACUUUACUACCAAAAUAUCAAGCAAUAUUGCAAAUAGCACCAAAGACAACCCUGCUGUGCACACAGCUCAAAGUGACUUGAGCUCUCUCUUACAGGAAGAGGACACUAGUCUGCAAUACGCUACAGUGACAUAUACCGGUGACCAAGCUAGUCGUCAAUAUGCAACAGUGACAUCUACCGGUAACCAAGUUGGACCUGGGCGCACCAAGAUCAAGUUUGAAAUAGCUGGAGAGUACGCCCUCUUAGCAGAAUCAUAGAAGAAGAAACAUUUACUGGAUAACAUGUUUUGCCAUAGUUCACAGUUACAAUCCUAUAUUUUGUUUUCAUAUUGGAUCAUAAUUUACUCAUAGUACAAAAACAAAUCCUGCCACAACAUCAAAGACUAAAGAUAUCUACUCAACUAUUUGCAUUUUAGGUUAAAUGAAAUAAAUGAAAAGUACACUGUCUGAAACAUAAAAUAAAUAUUUUCCUUCAUUGAGUUACCGAAUCUAGUCAGCAGUCACCAAUCAGUAGUCACCAAUCUAUUUCACUCCUUGACAAGAGUCAAUAUAGACUCAAAGCCACAAGAGGGUAGAACACAUGUCAAACUUUGCUUGUUACAUCUCUACAUCUCUCUCUCUACAUCGCUCUCUUUAACCAUGUCUGGUGUAUAUUAGUUUUCAGUGGUGGAAAAAGUACUCAACAAACAUACUUAAGUAAAAGUAAAGAUACCUUCAUAGAAAAUGACUCAAGUAAUAGUAAAAGUCACCCAGUAAAAUUCUACUUGUGUAAAAGUCUAUAAGUAUUUGAUUUAAAAUAUACUUCAGUAUCAAAAGUGAAUGUAUAACUCAUUUCAAAUUCCUUAUCUUAAGCAAACCAGAAUGCACCAUUUUCUUUUUAUUCUUCUUUUUUGCAGAAGGCCAGGGGCACACUCCAUCACUCAGCCAUCAGUUACAAACAAAUCAUGUCAGUUUAGUGAGUCUGCCAGAUCAGAGGCAGUAGGGAUGACAAGGGAUGUUCGGCUGAUAAGUGUGUGAAUUUGACUAUUUUUCUGUCCUGCUAAGCAUUCAAAAUGUAAUGAGUACUUUCGGGUGUCAAGGAAAAUGUAUGGAGUAAAAAUUACAAUGUUUUCUUAAGGAAUGUAGUGAACUAAAAGUAAAAGAAGACACAAAUAUGAAUAUAGUAUAGAUACCCCAAAAACUACUUAAGUAUUACUUUAAAGUAUUGUUACUUAAGUACUUUACACCACUGUUACUUUAAAAAAUAUGUUUUGUUAAUAUCACAGUUUACUUACAGUAUGUGACUUUACUUCCACCUGUUGAUACACUACCUCCAUAUUUCCUCUCUCUGCUUCCUGAUUUUCUGCUACCCUGUAAACCCCACCUCUUCCUGUAGUAUGUCAACAUCUGUUCCUCUCAGACCAAUUGUAAACCCACAUAAUAAUAGCAAUAAUUCAAUAAUAUUUUAAAUACACUUUUUGCAAUUACAAGCAGUUCCUGCCAGUUAGGCCUGUAUAAGCCCAACCUAAUCUGGAAUACCCAGAACAAAAUAUUGCAUGAACAUAACUCUCAUAACCUCUGUGCUCCCGACAGACGUAACAUGUUCGUUACAGAUCUUAGGACAGAUAUGCCCACCCAGAUCAGUCUUAUCUACCCCUGCAAUUGGAGCACAUUACAAACCUAUGACAGCUAUAGGUAUGAUAGUGUAUAUGAAAAUGAUGCAUCAUCACAGAAGGGUCAUAGGUGGGAGCUAUUGUUUCACCAUAAAAGGAGAGAGGGGAGACACAAAAUACAGUGUGUCACUCUCACACUCACUACUGUGGCAUUGCCUGAGUCAUUAUCUACAACCAACAGCUCCUGUGUAUAUUUCUAAAAACAUUUUCCAGAGCAUGUGAAGAUAGUCGCCCCCGAAAGCAUUUCUCAUUUCCAUAUAUCCUGUUUCACUUCUCUCUCUGUAUUAUACAUAAUAACAGGUGGCAGGUUUAAAGAACUCUUAAUUAUGAUCCAAUGAAUGUGCUGCUGGUGCCUUAUGUGUGAGUUAUGUACUAUUAAUAAUAGCAUUAUUGUACUGUCUAAUAAAAUGUUGAAUAAUUGACUUUCAUAACAAUAUCCCUAGUUGUACUUUUGGUUGGAAUAACAAUGAACGACAUUUCUUGUAGUCUCUCUUGAACUACAGUUAACAGAUGCAGGUACGUUUCUCCCCUUCUAUUGCUUGU